AUGGAACCUCCCUGGAAGCCUCCUGCCGUCAGUUUUUGGACCCCGUGGCUCGUCUGUCUGGGACAAGGAGUAACUGGGACACAGUGGUCUGAAACGGAGCUGAUUCGGAGUUAUGCUGACAGAGGUUUCUCCUGCUCAAGUUUUUCAUCAGUUUCUUUCAAGGCAGCUAAGCCAGAGAGAUGCCAAGUCUCUCGGAGAAGGGCUGCCUCAGUAUGAAGACUUAACUCCCAGCUGUACACAGACUCACCAUUUUGGAUCUUCUGAACGCUAAAUAUAUUAAGAUGUUACAGACAUCUCCCCUAGGACACCGAUCUUUUCAACCCAACGUGAUCAAAACUCAACUCAGUAUCUGCCACUUCUCCAAACCUGAUUUUGUUCCUGAAAGUCUUACUCCAAUUAAAGUGCCGUCCAC
rnacentral:lncRNA from 1 species